rnacentral:tRNA from 1 species
CGGGCGACCGGUGCGGGCCGACCGGCAGCCGCCGCCCGUCGUGCAGCGCGGGGACCGCCCGUACCCGUACCUCGCCGAUCCGCACGGUGUCCCCCGGCC